rnacentral:rRNA from 1 species
UACGAAGGGGGCUAGCGUUGCUCGGAAUCACUGGGCGUAAAGCGCACGUAGGCGGAUUGCUAAGUCAGGGGUGAAACCCUGGAGCUCAACUCCAGAACUGCCUUUGAUACUGGCGAUCUUGAGUCCGGGAGAGGUGAGUGGAACUGCGAGUGUAGAGGUGAAAUUCGUAGAUAUUCGCAAGAACACCAGUGGCGAAGGCGGCUCACUGGCCCGGUACUGACGCUGAGGUGCGAAAGCGUGGGGAGCAAACAGG